rnacentral:lncRNA from 1 species
CCUGCUGUACCGCCACAACUACAAUGCAAGCGGCUGCAAGUGGUUGCUUGUUAUACCCCGAACCUCCGCUCCGACAUCUGUGCCACGUUCCACGACGACCCACAAUGCAGCCACGCUGAUGUAUUAAAGACAUACUCUCGCCUCCAGCUUCGGUAAUACUGGCGCGGUAUGUACCGUUUCGUUCGCCAGUAUGUCCGGACAUGCCACAUAUGCCAAUGAGGCAACGCGCCACCUCAACCUAUUACCGGCCCCUUGCAACCUUUACCAUGCCCCUUUACGGUCCACUUCCCAACACUCCAAGUCACAACCGUUGGGUUAUUGUUGCUAUCAACCACCUCAUUCGGUACGCUGAAACUUCGGCACUAGCAUCUGCCACAGCAAAAGACGUCGCCAGUUUUAUCCUUCAAAACCUGAUUUUUUUACGCCAUGGAGCACCUUGAGAAUUACUGAGCGACCGCGGUCACGCUUUCCUCUCCGACGCCAUUUCAGCAUUGCUAAAGGAGUUUCGCAUCAUUCACCGCGCUACCACGGCAUAUCAUCCUCAAACUAAUGGGAUGACAGAACGUUUCAACUGCACCCUUGGCGACAUGUUGGCCAUAUACGUUUCAUCUGACCACUCGAAUUAGGAUCGCAUUCUGCCUUUUGUCACCUACGCUUACAGUACUGCCACACAAAGCACCACUGGGUUCUCCACUUUCUUUCUCCUUUACAGACACGAACCUUCAUGCACUAUGGACACGAUUCUACCUUACCGGCCAGAGGCUUUGGAGUGGAUGACUGUUUCUAGGGCGGCUGCUUACACCGAAGAAUGACGCCAGCUCACUUGUUCGUUCACAUCCCAGGACCAGUGGUGCAAGAAGCAUCGCCACGAUUCAUCCACUACGGCAAUGAGCUUUGCUUCUGGCUCGCUGGUCUGGCUAAGGGUGGCUUCUACUCCUCCAGGCCUUUUCUCCAAGCUGCUCUCCAAGUACCAUUGCCCUUAUCAAGUACUAAAACAAACAUCCGCAGUCAACUACCUCAUCGAGCCAAUGGAAGCGCUUUCCGACCAGCAUCGUCGCGGCCAAAGUGUCCACGUCUCCCGGCUCAAGCAGUGCCAUGACCCUCCCAUGUUCUCGUGUCCUUAGGUUGCCAGGAUGGCGACUCUUUCGGUGGGGGAGUGAUUGUACUGAAGGCACUGCGCAGUGGGCUAGUGCUGGUGAAAGAGAAGGCAACAAGAAUUGCUUGCUUCCCUGUUUCGCUAUACUACUACCAACCUGUUUAAGCCUAUCGCUACAACCUAGAACUAAUGCUGCUAGGCGAACACCCCCUUUGUAGUACACCUUCCUUUUCAGUGAGAAUGGUAAGCUUCCAGUGAGGAGUUGACACUGUCUACCGUAUGCGAUCCAACUCAAUUUUAUUCUAUGAAUUUGCUUUUCAUGAUCAGGGUUCCCUGUGGUUAGUUGACCUAGGUAAACGUACUCCUUCAUAGACUCUAGAGGCUGACUGGCUAUCCUGAACUCUUGUUGCCUUGCCUGGUUAUUCAUCAUUAUCUUUGUUUUCUGCAUAUUAAUCUUCAACCCCACUCUUACACUCUCUCAUGUUUAAAUCCUCAAUCAUUUGUUGUGACUCGUCUGCAUUGUUGCUGAAUAGAACGUCAUCGGCAAAUCGAAGCUUGCUGAUAUUGGCCAUCGAUCCUUACUCCUAAGCCUUCCUAGUUUAAUAGCUUGAAUACUUCUUCCAAGCAUGCAGUAAAUAACAUUGGAGAGAUUGUGUCUCUCUAUCUAACCCCUUUCUUUGUAGGUAUCCUCCUGCUUUUCUUGUGUAGAAUAAGGGUAGCUGUGGAACCUCUGUAGAUAUUCUCCAAGGUAUUUACGUAAGCAUUCUGUACUCCUUAAUUAUCUAAUGCCUCUAUGACUGCUGGUAUCUCUACUUAAUCAAAUGCUUUUUUGUAAUCUAUGAAAGCCAUAUAGAGAGGCUUAUUGUACUCUGCAGAUUUCUUGAUAAUCUGAUUAAUGACAUGAAUGUGGUCCAUUGUAUAAUAUCCCUUCCUGAAGCCAGCUUGUUCCCUUGGUUUACUAAAUUCCAGUGUUGACUUUAUUCUAUAGGAAGUUAGUUUGGUAAAUAUUUUAUAUAAUACUGGGAGUAAGCUAACGGGUCUAUAAUUUUUCAAUUCUUUAAUGUCUCCCUUUUAUAACGUUUGCAUUCUUCCAGUUUUCUGGAAACCUUGCAGUCGACUGACACUUCGUAUAAAGAGCGGCCAGUUUUUCAAGCAUUACCUCCUCCAUCUUUGAUUAAAUCGACUGUUAUUCCAUCUUCUCCUGCCGCUCUUCCUCAUUCCAUGUCUUUCAAGGCCCUUCUAACCUCAUCGCUAGCUAUAGGAGGAGUUUCUGUGUCCUGUUCAUUACUGUUCCUAAUUGAGGUACCCUGGCUCCUCUGGUUACUGCACAGGUCGGUAUAGAAUUCUUCCGCUGCUUUUAGUAUAUCUUCGAGAUUGCUGAUGAUAUUACCCUGCUUAUCUUUCAGUGCAUACAUCUUAUUUUGUCCUAUGCCAAGUUUCUUUCUCACCGAUUUCAGGCUGCGUCCAUUUUUUACGGCUUCUUCCGUCUUUUCACGUUAUAGUUACGAAUAUCCCUUAUUUUCGCCUUGUUGAUCAGUUUUGAUAGUUCCGCGAAUUCUAAUGUUGUGCACUUUCAUUCUUUGUCGUUUCUUUAUUAGGUCCUUUGUUACUUGGGAGAGCUCGCCCACUUGUUGCCUUGGUGCCUUGCCUCCCACUUCAGUUGCUGCGUCUGAAACCAGCCUAGUUACUGUUUAAUUCAUUAUCUCUAUGUCAUCUUCAUCUCUCUGUUUUAAGGCUGCAUAUUUGUUUGCAAGUACCAGCCUGAAUUUGUCUGCUUUUACCCUUAGUGCCUCUAGGUUGACCUGUUUCUUCAUGACCAAUUUUACUCUCUCUCUCUCUCUUCAAAUUGAGGUGAAUCAUAGCCCUCACUAACCUAUGAUCACAGCACUUUUCCCUGUCUAUCACUUCUACAUCCUGCACUAUGCUGGGAUCAGCAGAAAGUAUGAAGUCAAUUUCGUUUCUUGUUUCACCAUUAAGGCUUCUCCAGGUCCACUUUCUGUUGCUACGCUUCCUGAAAAAGGUGUUCAUUAUUCGAAGCUUAUUCCUUUCUAUGAAUUCUACCAGCAUCUCUCCACUAGCAUUCCUUGAGUCAAUGCUAUAGUUGCCAAUUGCUUAUCCACCAGCCAGCUUUUUCCCCACUUUUGUAUUGAAGUCGUACAUUACUACAGUAUACCGAGUCUGCACUUUUCUCAUCACUGAUUCAACAUCUUCAUAAAACUGAUCUACAUCAUCAUUGUGACUGCAUGUUGGAACAUAGGCUUGUACUACCUUUAAUCUAUACAUCUUAUUAAUUUUGAUUACAUAACAGCUACCCUCUCAUUAAUGCUGUAUAGUUCAUCAAUGUUGCUCGCUAUGUCCUUAUGGAUUAGGAAUCCUACCCUGUAUUGCUUCUUAUCUGGGAGACCUCUAUAGCAGAGGACAUGUCCGUUAUUCAGCAAUGUAUAAGCCUCACCAGUUCUUCUAAUCUCACCAAGGCUGAUAAUAUCCCAAACAAUGUCUGAUAGUUCGCCAAAGAGACCUGCUAUGCUAGCCUCACUCGACAGAGUUCGGCAAUUAAAGGUUGACAGGAUCAGUUUCCAUUGGCAGCCUGUCCGAAUCCAGAGAAUCUUAGCACCCUCUGCCGUAGAGUUUCUCACUAUAUUACCUAGAGGGAAAUCUGGCGCUGCUUUGCUGUGGUAUGCAUGAGAAUGCUGGUAUAUUGUGACUUCGGAUUGGCAUCGUUGUCAGAGAGCCAGGACACCUUGAACGCCUGGCAAGUACCGUUCUGUCUGUCACAAUGAUUCAUUUUCUACUAAAACAGGCACGUAAAAAGCUGUUUUAGCUUUAUUAUUACGCAAGAACAUGUUUUGCUUAACUAUGAGAACUUGUAUUGCAUGUACAUUAUAUGAUAUGUAAAUAGUAUGAGUGGGCUGCUAAAGUUACAUGAGGACAGACAACAAAAUUUGCGCUCGCUUUGAAACAGUUUGUCGUCUUUUCUUGCUUUUCUUCGCUUGGUCGUGCAUAAGUAGGUGAGUAAAGAUGUAAUGUGCGUGAAUGGAAACAUUUUAUGAAGAUUUUACUUUAAGAAUGCAUUAUUUGUGUAGCCAUAACCACAUUUUAGACAAAGCCUCUUACAACACCAGCCAACAGAAGCCUCGCAGACACAUAUACCGUCAUUCCCAUGACGGCACAACACCCCUUAGGAAACUCCCAUAGAUGCUGGUGCCAGAUUUCCCUCUAGGUGUUAUAGUGAGAAACUCUAUGCCUUCUGCUGCAUUACAGGCCUGACUGGCGCCUUGGUCAGGUGCUCUGCAGCUGCUGGGGACUAAGGGCUGUGGGUGAAUUGUAGGGAUCAUUUGGGAGGUGGUGGCCGAAUACUGCACCAGGGAGGCCAAUUCCUGUUCUGGUGUGGGAGUGUCUUUGUAGAAGCUUAGUGAGCCUUCCUAAUUUGGUUGUACCUGGAUUAGUAUAGUCGCACUCGCUCUUGGCGUCUUUUGCCAGUGUCAAGCGCCACUCCAAGCCUGUAGAUGUUGUGCUCUGUAUAUAUGCAGGAACAAAACUGUUUUGCAACAUACUUAUUCAGUAAAUGGCAUUGUACUUAAGGAAUCGCCACCUGUUAAAUAUCUAUUACACAUAAUUUGAGUUGAGAUCUUCUUGUUGAUACAAUCUGCACCAACGCUUUUAAAUCUCUCCAGUUCUUUCAAAGCAGGCUUUCAAAAGCCCCUAUGAAAGUGAAACUAGCAGCAUAUAAAGCGUUGGUCCGGCCAUAUCUGGAGUAUGCUUCAUGCCUAUGGGGCCCUUAUAGACAGAAAGACGUCAAGUUAGAAAAAGUUCAAAGAUCAGUGGUCACAUUCAUUUGCAGUGAAUAUAAACACAUUGAUAGUGUGACAGAAAUGAUUAUUUUUGUCUUGGUACUCUUAAAGCUAGGCAUGCUGAAUGCAGAUUAACUUAACACAAAUUAACAAUCACAAUUUCAUUACCCGCCACACUCCGUAUACAAGCUCAUGUUUUAAUCAUGGGAAAAUGAUCCAGGAAUGCAGUGCUCUAAUGAUGCUUUUAAAUGCUCAUUUUUUCCCAGAACCAUAAACACAUAGAACAAAUUGCCAGGUCAUAUUGUUGAUAGUCGCGGUGUUGAAGUGUUUAUUACAAACUUGAAGAAAAUGCAUGGGUGAAGGUGUACUUGUAUUCUUGUAAUGUUUGAAUUGCAGUGCUUCAUGCCUUGGUUUCCUGUAUUUGGUUCUUAUUACCAUUGAUGUCUUCUUCAGAUGUACUUCUUUCUUUGUGCCCACUCCUGCUUGGAGUCAAGCAACAUUGCAGCAUUCCUAAAUGAAGUUUUUCAUUGAAUGAAGCGUGUCACAUGGCAGUGUGAUCUCGCAAUAAUGCUCUUUCCACAGUCAAUGGUAAAUGAGCUUGUAUAUGUGGCCCACGCAAGUAUUAUGCAAGUUAGCAUUGCUGAACAAAAAUUGAUUGACAUCUCAUAUCUACAUCUAUCUUUACUGCAGCAUGCAGCUCACUCUUUAGCAUGCGCAGAAUGUUGCAACAGCCACUCCUUACAACACAGUGUAUUCACGUAUUAUAGCCUGGACCUGCCUGAAAGAGGACCAUUUGAAUGAAAAAGUGUAUUAUGGAUUAUAAUUGUGAUUAAUGGUGUCUCAGCGGGGAGUUUCUAAGCAAAUACUUUGAACCAUGUGAUUUAAACAGUGCUAUCUUUCUUAUGGUUAAAUGUGGAGGACAAGCUAUCAGAUUGGACAGAGGCCAGCUCAUGAUGUCGUAAAAGUCUUCUUUAGGUGGCUGUGCAUGCCUGUUGAAGCAUGUGCCUGAUCAUAGCAUAUUGUUACGCAAAGGACGAGUCGGUAAGAUGAGCAACUAUUUACAGGUUAUAUUUACAACAGCGGUUGCAGCGCUGACCGAUUAGGUUCACGGCACGAGCCCAGUUUGUUCUUCCUCCUCUUUUCUCGAGAGAUGGCGCCCACGCAUGUCGUUCAAACAAUCAAAUACCAUGCGCCUGUAGCAUAAUCCCCCGGCAGCAGAAGCGACAUCCCGGAGCGUCUAAAUGUCAUCACUGGGAAGGUGAUACUGCUUCAGUCAUGUAACGUGCGCAAUAUCACUGGACUGGGAAGCAGAUGGGGCGUCAGUGGUGAUCUCAUGGGUGACAGGAGUCAUGGCAUGAAGCACUCGCUAUGGGCCUGUGUAACGAGACAGCAGUUUUUCAGCAGGCUGAGCUGACACGACGGGGACUGGGAAGUUCGUGGAGAACAGCCGAGCGGAGGUGUUUAGGGAUCACAAGGAGUAAUGCAGGGCCGUCGGGGUGAGCGUUGUGGUGGUAGAGUAUGCCAUCUUGAAGUGUGAAUAAGCAGAGGGAACUGUCGGCAAGUGACGAUUCCAGGCCGUCAAUGAUGAUACACAAGGACGGGUCAUGGCGCUGCUUGUCGGCAACAUGGAGCAGUGGAAAAACGGAGAACACAGGCGUCAGUGUCAGUAUCAGACAUAGAGGUCGCAUCUUCGACUGGGUAGGGAGAGAGGCAGUCUGUGUCCUGGUGUUGGCGUCGCGACUUGUAAGUCACUGUGUAGGGAUAGUCUUGUAGUCAGAGGGCCCAACGACCGAGCAGGUCAGUAGGAUCCUUCAGUGACGAAAGCCAACACAGCUCAUGAUGGUCUGUGAUUACUGAGAAGGGCUUGCCAUAUAAAUAUGGGCGGAACUUGGAAACAGCCCAGACGAGAGCAAGACAUUCGCACUCGGUAAUCGAAUAGUUGCACUCUGCAGUUGCCAGGAGCCGGCUAGCGUAGGCUAUAAUACGGUCGUGUCCAUGUUGGCGUUGUGAUAAGAUGGCGCCGAUCCCAUAACCACUGGCAUCGGUUUGGACCUCUGUAGGUGUGGAUGGGUCAAAGUGGGCCAAGACCAGUGGAUUGUUGAGAAUCGUGAUAAGGCGGGAAAAUGCAGCAGCCUGAGGGGAACCCCACGUAAAAGGCACGUCUUUCUUCAGAAGUUCAGUGAGUGGUCGAGUGAUUGCUGCGAAAUCUGUCACCAACCGUCGGAAAUAAGAACAGAGCGCCACAAAACUCCGGACGUCCUUGACAGACUGAGGUACAGGAAAAGCCGUUACUGCUUGAACCUUCUCCGGGUCGGGUUGUACUCUGGAAGUAUAAACGAGAUGACCUACACUGUAAUCUGUCGGCACCCAAAGUGGCACUUCGAUGAGUCUAACUGGAGCCCAGCCUUGCUGAAGACAUCAAGGAUAGCUGCGACGCGCUCAUGGUGCGUAUAAAAUGUAGGAGAAAACACAAGGACGUCGUCGAGGUAACAAAGGCAGGUUGACCAUUUGAAACCUUGAAGCAGAGAGUCAAUCAUUCGUCCGUACAGGGCGGGGGCAUUGCAUAAACCAAACGGCAUAACCUUGAAUUGGUAGAGGCCAUCUGGAGUGACGAAAGAAGUCUUUUCUUGGUCUUGCUCAUCAACAGAAAUCUGCCAAUAUCCAGAUCGAAGGUUGAUGGAAGAAAAGUAUUUGGCGCUGUGAAGACAAGAGCAUCGUCGAUUCAUGGUAAAGGGUAGACGUCCUUUUUAGUAAUUCGGUUUAGGUUGCGGUAAUUAACACAGAAACGCCACAUGCCAUCUUUCUUUUUGACAAGCACGACCGGCGACUCCCAAGGACUUGACGAGGGCUUAACAAUGCCUCUGGCCAGCAUCUUGUUUACUUCCUGUUGAAUAACUUGCCGUUCUGCCGUGGACACGGUAAUGUCAGCAGUGAAUAAGAACAGCAUCACCAGUGUUUAUCUGAUGCUUAACAAGGGGCGUCUGACCAAGUGGUCAAUUGUCAUUGUCAAAUAUGUCGCGGUAGGAAAGCAAAAGGCAAUGUAGGGCGGCUGCUUGGUCAGGUGCGAGGUCCAGAGCGACCAUGGGACGUAAUGGUUCGUCAAGGUUCAAGGCAUCCUGUGGGUAAUCGGGAGGAUCUGGAGACGCGUCGGCUGCAAAAGUAGUGACGUGGUCAUCUGUCACGGGCCGCAGCGUGGCCACCACUAUGCCUUCAGCUAACGCUUGCUUCAUCAAGCCAAAAUUGAUAACGGGGAGACACAUCCGAUUAGCGGCAAGGGUUACGACGGAGUGUGACACAGAGAUAUCGCACGCCAGGAGGACAUCACGAAUAGGUGCGACGAUAUAGUCGCCAUUAGGCGCAGUUGCCGUUGAGGCCAAUUCGACGAAGGUGAGGGCUUUUGGAGGUAAGCAAACCAACGCUGUAGUGCAGAGGGUGUUCGGUUGUUCGAGGCGAACGUCUGAAAGAAGAGGAAGCUCGAGGCACAGCGUACCGGUGGAACAGUUGACGAGAGCAGAAUGCGUCGUCAGAAAGUCGAGCCCAAAGAUUAAGUCACGAGGGCAACUGGUCAGCACGGUGAACAGGACUGGAACUUGGCGGCCAGCAAUUCCUAUGCGAGCAAUGCGAAUUCCCCUGACGGCAACAGUGGCACCAUUGGUGACACGUAUGGCUCAAGUGAUGGCAGGCGUAAGAACUUUUUUGAGGCGACGACAUAGGUUAGCGCUCAUUAUGGGCACUUGGGCUCCAGUAUCAAUCAUUGCCGUCAAUGGAACACCAUCUAUGUCUACUUCAAUUAGGUUUGUGUUGGUGAGGAGCGUCUAUGGAGGAUUUGGACAGGACGAACGUGAUGCAGCAAUAUUUAGAAGGUGCAGUGUGAACUGUAGGUUGCUUGUGGGCAUUGUUCACAAAGAACACUGCCAUCUCAAGUGGCUGCUGUCUUAGGCUCUUCUGCUCAUUUGUUUUUGCAGCUGCUGCAGUACGAUUGGAAAGAACUGCUUAUGGAUGUUGUGUGCAGUACCAAUAAUUUGAGGAUUUCAAAUAGUAUGAAGACAUUAAAUGUAUGGACUUACAAGUAUGAUGAAUGGACAUUUGUCAGUUUUGGGUGCUCGUACUCAGCCUAGAAACUUAAGCUUGUUACGAAGAGGCACAAUCUUGAACACGAAAGCAUUAAGCUUAUUGUUGUGCUAAUAUUGUCUUACAACGUUUGGACAGAUUUGCAGAUGGAACCCAUUCAAUAUUUUUGUUACCUCUGUAAAUUGCACAACAAACAGCUCCAUGGUGGGAAUUUUUUUUCACUACUUUAUUUUUUCAUUGUGGUCACGCCUUCCACGUAAAGCGAGAGUAUUACACCAAUAUUUUGCAUGAUUUUGUUUUUAAUAAGUGUCUUUAUUCCUUUGCUCUUACCAUUUCCUUGCUUCUCAUUUUCAGGUCGUCCACUUCCCGUCGUUGAGUACAGAAAUGUCAUACUGUACGCUAAAGAAAAUGGAAGAUUGGAUGCUGCUUCUGUUUACUAUGUUUUUGCUGGAGUAUAUUCUUGACAACAAGUUGGUCAACAACUUGCUUGCACGCCAAGAAGUUGUACCGAUGAGGUUGCGUGCCAAUUUCAAGAACCAGUGUGAGGAACUAAAGAGGAGAGCAUUCUACACACACUUAAUUUUGACAUUACUUCCCGCUGCGGAUACAGAUAGGUAUCUGGCUGUACACGGUGGUAUCGUCGCAGCACACAUGCUCUUCUCUCAAGACUUCAACGACACAACUAUGCAACUGCUGCAGACUGUUUUCACUCACGAAUCAUCGGUGAUUCAAACUAUGCAAACAAUUUAUUUGACAUCACGCACACUACAGUUAAUCGUCGGAAUCUGCGGCUUGGUCAAAGAGGGAUUGGCUUGCUGCGGAAGCGGCCAACUUUGGUCUGUUGCCAUAACAGUAUUGAGUGACGUGUUUGCCCUCGGAGAGUUGGCGCUGGCGGCAAUAACACCAUUGUCUGAUAUUACUCUUCUUUAUUUUACCAAUUGAAUUAGGUAAGUGAGCUUAUACUUAUAAUUGUGUAAAUUAAUAAUUAACCCUUUAUUGAUGCCUGUUGCCUACAGGCAACAUAUCAGAAAAAUUUUUUUUACUGGCCGAGUUUUAAUAUUGAGUACGAACUUUCUAGCUUAAUAUCUUCACCAACACUGAAUGACAGGCAGCAAGUGUCAUUUGUUGCUCUAGAGCAGGAACACUGGGCGAGAAAGAAGUUUGGCACGCGACUCAGUGUGUUUUGAAAGCAAGGUCAGAGGAGACGUGUCGAUGCAAAAUAUCCAGCUGCAGCAGUGUCACACAUGUGAUGUCAUCAUCAUCAGCAGCAGCACGGUUACGCCCAAUGCAGGGCAAAGGCCUCUCC